rnacentral:rRNA from 1 species
ACUUAAAUUGAAGAGUUUGAUCAUGGCUCAGAUUGAACGCUGGCGGCAGGCCUAACACAUGCAAGUCGAGCGGUAGCACAGAGAGCUUGCUCUCGGGUGACGAGCGGCGGACGGGUGAGUAAUGUCUGGGAAACUGCCUGAUGGAGGGGGAUAACUACUGGAAACGGUAGCUAAUACCGCAUAACGUCGCAAGACCAAAGUGGGGGACCUUCGGGCCUCAUGCCAUCAGAUGUGCCCAGAUGGGAUUAGCUAGUAGGUGGGGUAACGGCUCACCUAGGCGACGAUCCCUAGCUGGUCUGAGAGGAUGACCAGCCACACUGGAACUGAGACACGGUCCAGACUCCUACGGGAGGCAGCAGUGGGGAAUAUUGCACAAUGGGCGCAAGCCUGAUGCAGCCAUGCCGCGUGUGUGAAGAAGGCCUUCGGGUUGUAAAGCACUUUCAGCGGGGAGGAAGGCGGUGAGGUUAAUAACCU